AUGAACGCUGGCGGCGUGCCUAAUACAUGCAAGUCGAGCGUACAGACGAGGAGCUUGCUCCUCUGACGUUAGCGGCGGACGGGUGAGUAACACGUGGAUAACCUACCUAUAAGACUGGGAUAACUUCGGGAAACCGGAGCUAAUACCGGAUAAUAUAUUGAACCGCAUGGAUCAAUAGUGAAAGACGGUUUUGCUGUCACUUAUAGAUGGAUCCGCGCCGCAUUAGCUAGUUGGUAAGGUAACGGCUUACCAAGGCAACGAUGCGUAGCCGACCUGAGAGGGUUACCUGCUACCCUUGAACUUAGACACGGUCCAGACUCUUACGGUAUGCAGCAGUACAGACUCUUCCGUAAUGGGCCAAAGCCUGACGGGGCAAUGCCGCGUGAGUGAUGAAGGUCUUCGGAUCGUAAUGCUCUGUUAUUAGUGGAAAACACAUUUGUAAGUAACUAUGCACGUCUUGCCGGUACCUAGUCAGAAAGCCACGGCUAUCUACGUG
rnacentral:rRNA from 1 species